GCCGGGCAUGGUGGCGCAUGCCUGUAAUCCUAGCAACUCAGGAAGCUGAGGCAGGAUGAUUACAAGUUUAAGGUCAGCCGAAGCAAUUUAGCAAGUCCCUGUUCUC
rnacentral:sRNA from 1 species